rnacentral:rRNA from 1 species
UACAGAGGUCCCAAGCGUUGUUCGGAUUCACUGGGCGUAAAGGGUGCGUAGGUGGGCAGGUAAGUCAGUGGUGAAAUCUCCGGGCUUAACUCGGAAACUGCCAUUGAUACUAUCUGUCUUGAAUACCGUGGAGGUUAGCGGAAUAUGUCAUGUAGCGGUGAAAUGCUUAGAUAUGACAUAGAACACCAAUUGCGAAGGCAGCUGGCUACACGAAUAUUGACACUGAUGCACGAAAGCGUGGGGAUCAAACAGG